GCCUGCUAACUUCUUGGAGUUAGGCUGGCGGCGGAAUCACCAGGAGGGCUUGUUCAGUCAUAGAGGCUUGAGCCCCACCCUCAGAGUUUCUGGAGUCUGGCAAGCGGCUUGAGCCUUGGGAUUUUAAAAAAAGUUACCAGGUGAUUGUCAGGCACAGCCAGGCUUGAGAACAACUGCUACCUAAGAAAGCACUAGGCACAUGCAGCUCUGUCCUGCUCCUCUUGCCCUUCAGGAGCGAGCUCAGCACCAACAAGAGGGCGCUCUGGACCACCUUCUGCCAGGUGAGGGGCCUGUCUGUGAGCCUGUGCAGGCCCAGAGAGCUGCACCCUGGAGCCGGGGUGGGAGACACCACACAAGCUGACAACGGGCUUGAGAUGACUCCUUCAGGUCUCAGAGACUUGGAACUGGAUGCUGCAACCAGCCCAGUUUGGAGGGGAGCAAGUUGAGAUCCACACAGAGGAAGAGACAUACCCACGAGCACCCCGCAUGUCCCUGGCAAGCUGGGACUGAGCUUGGGUGUCCGGCUCAGGUCCCCCCAACGGGCCCUCAGGGACUCCGGGGAGGCCUCACCUUCCAGAGCCCACAGCUGAUGCUUCACCAGCCCCACCACUUCCUGCCUGUCCUCUGAGAGCACGAUCCCAAAGCCGGCCAGUAGGUAGGAGGCGUCCGUGGUGAUCCCCGCCCUCACCUUCUGGAUGGUGGGUACCACGCCCACCAGCAGCAGCAGGGCCACCUGGAAGAGCCCCAGAAUGAAGGUGCCAGGACCUGGCCGUGCUCACACCAGGCGGCCACCCCAGGAGAAGCGUUUUCUGAGCCAGCAGGGAGACUUCGGGGGAGAAACUGCGGCGGCACACGGCUGCAUCCACAGGGCCAGCACCCGCCAAAAUUCUUGUCUGCCCCGAGAACGGCGUCCUCCUGCCCCUACCCCGCACGCCGCGAGCAGGUCUGACUUUGGCCUAACAGGCGGCAGCCGUACUUCCAAGUGGCACAGCUGUGCACAUCUGUCUUUGGACAACUGUCUAAACCUCAGAACAUGAAA